AUUGAACGCUAGCGGCAUGCUUUACACAUGCAAGUCGAACGGUAACAGGGAGCUUGCUCCGCUGACGAGUGGCGAACGGGUGAGUAAUAUAUCGGAACGUGCCCUAGAGUGGGGGAUAACGUAGCGAAAGUUACGCUAAUACCGCAUACGAUCCAAGGAUGAAAGCAGGGGACCUUCGGGCCUUGUGCUCCUGGAGCGGCCGAUAACUGAUUAGCUAGUUGGUGAGGUAAAGGCUCACCAAGGCGACGAUCAGUAGCUGGUCUGAGAGGACGACCAGCCACACUGGAACUGAGACACGGUCCAGACUCCGACGGGAGGCAGCAGUGGGGAAUUUUGGACAAUGGGGGCUACCCUGAUCCAGCAAUGCCGCGUGAGUGAAGAAGGCCUUCGGGUUGUAAAGCUCUUUUGUCAGGGAAGAAAAGGGUACGGCUAAUAUCCGUGCCUCAUGACGGUACCUGAAGAAUAAGCACCGGCUAACUACGUGCCAGCAGCCGCCGUAA
rnacentral:rRNA from 1 species